AUUGAACGCUGGCGGCAUGCCUUACACAUGCAAGUCGAACGGCAGCACGGGAGCAAUCCUGGUGGCGAGUGGCGAACGGGUGAGUAAUAUAUCGGAACGUGCCCAGUCGUGGGGAUAACGUAGCGAAAGCUACGCUAAUACCGCAUACGAUCUAUGGAUGAAAGCGGGGGAUCGCAAGACCUCGCGCGAUUGGAGCGGCCGAUAUCAGAUUAGGUAGUUGGUGAGGUAAAGGCUCACCAAGCCGACGGUCUGUAGCUGGUCUGAGAGGACGACCAGCCACACUGGGACUGAGACACGGCCCAGACUCCUACGGGAGGCAGCAGUGGGGAAUUUUGGACAAUGGGCGCAAGCCUGAUCCAGCAAUGCCGCGUGCAGGAUGAAGGCCUC
rnacentral:rRNA from 1 species